UACGUAGGGUGCAAGCGUUGUCCGGAAUUAUUGGGCGUAAAGAGCUCGUAGGCGGUUUGUUGCGUCGGCUGUGAAAUCCCCGAGGCUCAACCUCGGGUCUGCAGUCGAUACGAGCAAAACUAGAGUGUUGCAGGGGGAGACUGGAAUUCCUGGUGUAGCGGUGAAAUGCGCAGAUAUCAGGAGGAACACCGGUGGCGAAGGCGG
rnacentral:rRNA from 1 species